AGCUUUGCGUAGUGGCAGUAUCAUAGCCGAUUAUGUUUACCUGAGGCGCAAUUAUUGCUUAUUGGAAACUUUUCCCAAUACCCCCCAAGAAGAUUAUCCUGUACAAAUUUUGCUAGCCUGAUUACACUGCCAGACACAUUCCCCUCCCCUCUCAGCAUAGG